rnacentral:rRNA from 1 species
CAGGCUAACACAUGCAAGUCGAGGGCAUCGGGAGUAGCAAUACUGCCGGCGACCGGCGCAAGGGUGCGUAACGCGUGAGCAACAUGCCCGUAUCAGGGGGAUAAUCCAUGGAAACGUGGUCUAAUACCCCAUAGUAAUUAUGUAAGGCAUCUUAUAUAAUUUAAAGCUUUGGUGGAUACGGAUUGGCUCGCGUGACAUUAGCUGGAUGGUAAGGUAACGGCUCACCAUGGCUACGAUGUCUAGGGGUUCUGAGAGGAAGGUCCCCCACACUGGAACUGAGACACGGUCCAGACUCCUACGGGAGGCAGCAGUGAGGAAUAUUGGACAAUGGAUGGAAAUCUGAUCCAGCCAUGCCGCGUGCAGGAAGAACCGGCCCUAUGGGUUGUAAACUGCUUUUGUAUGGGAGCAAUAAGGGCUACGUGUAGUCCGAUGAGAGUACCAUACGAAUAAGCACCGGCUAACUCCGUGCCAGCAGCAGC